AUGCCAGCCUUUUCCUGGGCAGAGUCCCAGAACCUUCUCGGACCCACGAACGUUUCAAUCCGGGGUGGGGCCUUCCCUGGGCACCCAAGAGGUGGGAAUCUGUCCCUGGCCCCUACCACUGGCGGGCUGGGCCUGCCUCUGUCUCCAUCCUGUCCCGAUUCCCCGUCCCCAGUGGCAGGGGCUGGAGAGGAAGGAGCUCCAGGCUUGAAAGCCAUCAAAGCAGGUUGCUUUCGAGAUGGCCAGUGGUCACCUGAGAUGGAGCAGAGAGCAGCUGUGGAAUCCGUCCGUGAACCCUGCAGAGGCCUUCGUGCCUUAAGACAGACGGCGUCCUGCAGGCCUGCCAUGGAGACACCACGUGUGAUCGUAAAAAAAAAAAAAAGUGCAGUUAGGCCGGGCGCGGUGGCUCACGCCUGCAAUGCCAGCACUUUGGGAGGCCGAGGCGGGCGGAUCACCUGAGGUCAGGAGUUCCAGACCAGCCUGGCCAACAUGGUGAAACACGGUCUGUACCAAAAAUACAAACAUUAGGCGGGCGCGGUGGCGGGCGCCUGUAAUCCAGCUACUGUGGGGAGGCUGAGGCAGGAGAAUGGCUUGAACCCGGGAGGCGGAGGUUGCAGUGAGCCGAGAUCGCGCCAUUGCACUCCAGCCUGGGCGACAGAGCGAGAUUCUGUCUCAAAAAAGAAAAAAAAAAAAAAACGGAGUCUGUCCAGAAUCACACCCAGUCACGCGUGCCUGGUAACGUUCCCGCAGUCAACAACGGCCUUCGUAGACAUCAGAAGUCCCAGGAGAUGGUAAUACUGUAGUUUUCCUGUGUCUUUAUUUGUAGACAUACAAACACCUACCGUUGUGUUAUAGCAGCCUACGGCACUCGGCACACUCAGGUGAGUAGCAGGCCGGGAGCUUGGGGUCCUGCCACGCAGCCCAGGUGAGUAGCAGGCCGGGAGCCCGGGGCCCUGCCACACAGCCCAGGUGAGUAGCAGGCUGUGUGUGCCACGGCGGUAUGUGUGAGCGCACCCCGUGAUGUGCACACAAAGAGAAUUGCCGAAGGACGCAUUUCUCAAAACAGGUCCGUGUCGUUCAGUGACACGUAUGACCGUAUCUGUGUGUGUGUGUGUGUGCAGAUGGGUGUGUAUGUACGUAUACACACCUGAACACACACACCUCUACACACAUACCUGUAUAUGGAUAGAACGUAUCAUUUACAGAAUUUAUAAAACACGUAAUUUAUGUUACAUAAAAUACAUAGAAAUCAGUUUUGUUUUCUUUUUUUUAUUUGUUUAAGACGGAGUCUUGCUCUGUCGCCCAGGCUGGAGUGCAGUGGCACGAUCUCGGCUCACCGCAACCUCUGCCUACUGGUUUCAAGCGAUUCUCCUGCCUCAGCCUCCCCCCAGUAGCUGGGAUUACAGGCACCCGCCACCUCGCCCGGCUGAUUUUUUGUAUUUUCUGAAGAGACAGGGUUUCACCAUGUUGCCCAGGCUGGUCUCAAAUUUCUGACCUCAGGUGAUCCACCCGCCUCGGCCUCCCAAAGUGCUGGGAUUACAAGCGUGAGCCACUGCACCCAGCCGAUUUCAGCUGUUUUCUUUUUUCUUCUUUUUCUUUUCUUUUUUUUGAGAUGGAGUUUCGCUCUCGUUGCCCAGGCUGGAGUACAAUGGCACAAUCGUGGCUCACCGCAAUCUCCGCUUCCCAGGUUAAAGCGAUUCUCCUGCCUCAGCCUCCCCCCAGUAGCUGGGAUUACAGGCACCCGCCACCACGCCCGGCUGAUUUUUGUUAUUUUCUGUAGAGACGGGGUUUCACCAUGUUGGCCAGGCUGGUCUCAAACUCCUGACCUCAAGUGAUCUAUCUUCCUCGGCCUGCCACAGUGCUGGGAUGACAGGUGUGAGCCACUGCACCCAGCCUAUUUCAGCUGUUUUCUUAAAGCACAAAGCAACCUACACAUUCUUUUGUGAUGCCAGGCAACAGUAAGGGUGCAGCAGCUUGUGACUUGGGUGUUGCGAUCACGCGUGACCACUGCAGAAAAGCACACACCCACCUGUCCAGCGGGCACCUUGAAAUAGGCCGCCCAGGAGGUGGAGGGUGCGGUGAGCCGAGAUCGCACUAUUGCACUCCAGUCUGGGCAGCAAGAGCGAAACUCCAGACUCCGUCUCAAAAAAAGGAAAACCGGCCGGGCGCGGUGGCUCAAGCCUGUCAUCCCAGCACUGUGGGAGGCCGAGACGGGCGGAUCACGAGGUCAGGAGAUCGAGACCAUCCUGGCUAACCCGGUGAAACCCCAUCUCUACUAAAGAAAAAAUACAAAAAACUAGCCGGGCGAGGUGGCGGCGCCUGUAGUCCCAGCUACUCGGGAGGCUGAGGCAGGAGAAUGGUGUGAACCCGGGAGGCGGAGCUUGCAGUGAGCUGAGAUCCGGCCACUGCACUCCAGCCUGGGCGACAGGGCGAGACUCUGUCUCAGAAAAAAAAAGGAAAACAGCUGAAAUAUCACACAGACGGACGCCCAGCCCGGGAACGGGAAAGCUGUGGGUGUGUCUGCCCUAAAAACAUCACCUGGGUCUGCUCCGGUUCUCCCUGCUUUUCAGAUCAUGCCUGAACCUCGGUGCUCCUGGAGGUCAAGGCUGUGGUUUGAGGGGCUCCGCCCCAGCCCAGCCCCAGGUUGGCCCAGCUGUUCCCGGAGGGGCUAGGGAGGAAAGGGGGCUGUGUGGGCCCCACAGGGCCAACUGAGGUCUGAGGGUCGGGACACAGCCCGGCAGCAGGAACUGGGAGUGGAGCACGGGGGAAAUGUGGAUUCGCCGGGCUCCCUACAGCCGCAGUGACUGUGUGCCCAGGAGGUCCUCGCAGGGCAGGUGUGAGUCUGGCCUGCCUGGACUCGGGGAGGGGGUGUUUUACAGACGCAUUUCAGCCCUGCAGGAGGGGCUGGGGAGGUCCCGCUCGUGACAGUCUCUACACCAAGACAGGAGACACGGAAGCUGCCCGGAGAACUGCCACUCUGUGGCCUGUGGGCGUCCGGGGGUGAGCGGCAGCGACGGUGUUCCCACAGAGGAGACACACUGGAA
rnacentral:lncRNA from 1 species